GACGAACGCUGGCGGCGUGCUUAACACAUGCAAGUCGAACGGAAAGGCCCUGCUUUUGUGGGGUGCUCGAGUGGCGAACGGGUGAGUAACACGUGAGUAACCUGCCCUUGAUUUUGGGAUAACUUCAGGAAACUGGGGCUAAUACCGGAUAGGAGCUCCUGCUGCAUGGUGGGGGUUGGAAAGUUUCGGCGGUUGGGGAUGGACUCGCGGCUUAUCAGCUUGUUGGUGGGGUAGUGGCUUACCAAGGCUUCGACGGGUAGCCGGCCUGAGAGGGUGACCGGCCACAUUGGGACUGAGAUGCGGCCCAGACUCCUACGGGAGGCAGCAGUGGGGAAUAUUGCACAAUGGGCGGAAGCCUGAUGCAGCAACGCCGCGUGCGGGAUGACGGCCUUCGGGUUGUAAACCGCUUUCGCCUGUGACGAAGCGUGAGUGACGGUAAUGGGUAAAGAAGCACCGGCUAACUACGUG
rnacentral:rRNA from 1 species